rnacentral:rRNA from 1 species
GAUGAACGCUGGCGGCGUGCUUAACACAUGCAAGUCGAACGGAAAGGCCGAAGCUUGCUUCGGUACUCGAUUGGCGAACGGGUGAGUAACACGUGUGUGAUCUGCCCUGUACUUCGGGAUAUGCUUGGGAAACUGGGUCUAAUACCGCGUAUGACGUACUCUUGGAUGGGGUUGUGGAGUGCUUUUGCGGUAUGGGAUGAGCUCGCGGCCUAUCAGCUUGUUGGUGGGGUAUUGGCCUACCAAGGCGUCGACGGGUAGCCGGCCUGAGAGAGUGUACGGCCGCAUUGGGCCUGAGAUACAGCCCACACUAGGACGGGAGGCAGCAGUGGGGAAUAUUUCACGAUGGGCGGAAGCCUGAUGCAGCGAGGUCUCGUGGGGGAUGACGUCCUUCGGGUUGUAAACUCAAUUCGCUAUCGACGAAGCCUUUUGGUGACGGUAGGUUGAGAAGAAGCACCGGCUAACUACGUG